AUUAACAAAAAGGAACAUUUUAUGUAAAUACUCAAGAUAAUUCGAAGGAACAUUGUAAAUCGAUCUAACUCAGAGUGGUAGAGAAAUUGGCAAAAGCAUUGGUGAUGAUGUUGAACAAGAGGAAGUUAUGAUAAAAAGAGAAAAAAGAUAAGAUUAAAGUAGAAAAAAAUAAAGAGGAAGAAUUAGUUGAAAAUGAAAAAAAAAUGAAAAAGAUGAGUUAGAAAAGAAAAAGAGGGAGGAAA
rnacentral:lncRNA from 1 species